AAAACGACUCUCGGCAACGGAUAUCUCGGCUCUCGCAUCAAUGAAGAACGUAGCGAAAUGCGAUACUUGGUGUGAAUUGCAGAAUCCCGUGAACCAUCGAGUCUUUGAACGCAAGUUGCGCCCCAAGCCUUCUGGCCGAGGGCACGUCUGCCUGGGUGUCACAA
rnacentral:rRNA from 1 species